rnacentral:rRNA from 1 species
CCUACGGGUGGCUGCAGCCGAGAAUAUUCGACAAUGCGCGAAAGCGUGAUCGAGCGACGUCGCGUGAUGGAUGAAGUCGUUAAGACGUAAACAUCUUUUAUGAGGGAGGAAGUAUAUUGACGUUACCUCAUGAAUAAGGGGCUGCUAAACUCGUGCCAGCAGCAGCGGUCAGACGAGUGCCCCGAGCGUUAUCCGGAAUUACUGGGCGUAAAGCGUGUGCAGGCGGUCAUGUUAGUCCUUUGUUAAACCUCCCGGCUCAACCGGGAAAGUGCAUUGGAAACGGCAUGACUAGAGAGCAGGAGAGGCUUACGGAACUCAUAGUGUAGGGGUGAAAUCCGUUGAUAUUAUGAGGAACGCCAAAAGCGAAGGCAGUAAGCUGGCCUGUUUCUGACGCUGAGACACGAAAGCGUGGGUAGCGAAAGGGAUUAGAUACCCCAGUAGUC